rnacentral:pre_miRNA from 1 species
UGGAGUGUGACAAUGGUGUUUGUGUCCAAAACAUCAAACGCCAUCAUCACACUAAACA